rnacentral:rRNA from 1 species
UACAGAGGCCCCGAGCGUUAAUCGGAAUCACUGGGCUUAAAGGGUGCGUAGGCGGGUCAGUAAGCGCUUUGUGAAAUCCCACAGCUCAACUGUGGAACCGCAGGGCGAACUGCUGAUCUUGAGGAAGCUAGAGGCUGGUAGAACGAUAGGUGGAGCGGUGGAAUGCGUAGAGAAUCCAUCGGAAUGCCGAAAAGUGAAGACGGCCAGCUGGGGCUUUCCUGACGCUAAAGCACGAAAGCGUGGGGAGCAAACCGG